rnacentral:misc_RNA from 1 species
ACGAGUUUAAUUUCUCGGAACACCGAAGCCAAAAGAAAAGGAUCUCGGUAUCUUCCAGAAUCAUAGUCCACAUGCUCCUCACAUUAAAACACUUGAUCCCUGAAAACAAAGGCACGAUAAAACGUACAAACUCAUAUUCAAAUUCCAUGUGCCUCAAAAAUAUGGAUUUAUGCUAGUUGACUAUAUAUACAAAAAAGAAAGGGACUGGAAAAAGAAAAAAGCUCCAACUUAUUCUUCGCUGAUACUUGUCUCCACAAAUACACCCUUGAUCAACUAUUUAGCCUGGAAAUUUGUGACCAGUGCUCAGAAUCUACAACUAUCAAGGAUGCAUAAAAUCAUAAGUUAUAAACUAAGAUCCAAAAAACCCUAGAUCAAUCAUACACUCAAUACAAGAAGGAAAACAACCACUUCAAGC